GGGGCUAUAGCUCAGCUGGGAGAGCGCACCGUUCGCAACGGUGAGGUCGACGGUUCGAUCCCGUCUAGCUCCACCA
rnacentral:tRNA from 1 species